rnacentral:rRNA from 1 species
CAGCCGCCGCAGUAAUACGUAGGGUGCGAGCGUUAAUCGGAUUUACUGGGCGUAAAGCGUGCGCAGGCGGCCCGUUAAGACAGGUGUGAAAUCCCUGGGCUCAACCUAGGAAUUGCGCUUGUGACUGGCGGGCUCGAGUACGGUAGAGGGGGGUGGAAUUCCUGGUGUAGCAGUGAAAUGCGUAGAGAUCAGGAGGAACACCGAUGGCGAAGGCAGCCCCCUGGGCCUGUACUGACGCUCAUGCACGAAAGCGGGGGGAGCAAACAGGAUUAGAUACCCUGGUAGUCCACGCCCUAAACGAUGGGUACUAGCCGUUUGGUGCGCGAUAGCGCUGAGUGGCGAAGCUAACGCGUGAAGUACCCCGCCUGGGGAGUACGGCCGCAAGGUUGAAACUUAAAGGAAUUGGCGGG